rnacentral:lncRNA from 1 species
UGCUAUUUACAGAAAUUACCGGGGCCGGGGUUCAACUCUUCCCAAUGAUCAAAGUUACCACGAUGCUUUCACCAAAGUUACCACGCCUUCAGUGCUUAUGACCAUGCUACUUACACAAUGUACCGCGUGGUGUACAAACGUUAUCAUGUUGGUGGUGCGUCAUUUAUCGUGGUGGUGAUGGAGAAUUUACCACGGGAAAAAUUUAUGUGCCAGGUUUGUAGGUGAAACAAAAGUUUUUCAGUGCUAAAAUAUUAAAGGCAAAACAUGUCAAAAAUAGUCUUUUCCUUAGCCUGUUCAACGAUGAGUGUCAUAGGUGAGGUGGUUAGCUCCCUUUGUUGAUUACCUGCAGACCAAAGAUCAAAUCCCAACCCAAGCAUUAUUUUUGCCCGAAAAUUGGGAAGGCGUGCGGGAAAGGAAGGAGAUCGGGAGGAAAGGAAGGAGAUCGGGAGGACGUGCGGGAAAGGAAGGAGAUCGGGAGGGCGGCCAGAACUGACGGUGUUGGAUGCGUGUUGCAGUUUUGCAAUCUGCCACACGGUUGCCACUUACAUAUUUCGUUAAAAAAAUGUUACAGGUGUAUUAGAAAAUGUUCUUGACGCAUACAAAAAUUGUAGAAUGGAAACCAAAAGGAACCAAAAAAUAAACAAAAAGGUCAAAAAAUAUAUAAUGAGAAAUAAAACCGAAGAAAGAAAUGCAAAAAGUAUGGGGAAACCGGUAAAACUCAUAAAGAAAGAAAGAAAAUUAAAAAACAUUGAAAACUAAGAAAACCAAAAGAAAAAAAGAAAAGAAAAAGAGAAGAAUUGAAAGAAAACGGAUGAAAAACAAAGAAGGAAAGAAAAGAAAAGAAAGAAAGAAAGUGAAAACCGAAAAGAAAGGAAGAGAAACUUUAAAAAAAGAAAAACCGGAGAAACUAGUGAGAAAACAAGAAAAACUAAAAAAAUAGCAAAACCAAUGAAGGAAGCUCAACUAGCAAAGGAACUCGAUAGAAAACUAGCCCAGCGAACGAGCGAAGGAAGUGCAGCGAGCGAUCGCGAACGAAAGAAAAAAGCAAAACUUGGCCGGCCUGAUAACUUCGUUGCAGAGCAAAGAUCUUCAGAGCAUCUCUAGCAGACCCUGAAUCCCGCCGACCCGCAAAACGCGUUUGCAGUUCGCGGAAAACGCGUUUUAAGGGUCGGUUUUUGCCGCGGCAGAACAGACCCCUCAAACUUAAACUGUAAAACGGAAUAUUCGCUUAUAUUCUGUCUUCUUCUUCCUCUCGUCCAUGUCCAUGGUCAGCUAGCUUGCUCCCGCAAAACCGACGAAUAACACACGAAGCGGUAAAAAUGGAGCCGCAGGAUCCAUCCAUUAGCUAACUAGCUCUGCUCGAAUCGAUCGAGAGCUACCUGCUAGCUCUGCUCGAAUCCAUCAAUCGGAUUUCGGGUUCCGCAGACCCUUGAGAGGUUCGAACUCUAGGGUGCGCACGAAGAGCACUCUCUCCCCAGUCUGCACACUCAACGAUUCCACGGCCUAGCUCGAUGAACCCAAAGAACAAGUGACACGGGGGUUUAUACUGGUUCGGGCCACCUUGCGGUGUAAUACCCUACUCCAGUUUUGUGGUGGAUUGCCUCGAGGGGCUGAGGAUGAACUAGUACAGUGGAUGAACGACCUCAGGAGGUGAGGUGUUCUUGAGCUCGAUGAGCUGGUGAGAUGGCCUUGGUGGAAUGGAUCCAGUCCAAGAUGAGAUGCCCCCUAUGGUGGUGGCUAAGUCCUAUUUAUAGUGGCCUUGGUCCUCUUCCCAAAUGUAGGCGGGAAGGGAUCCCACAACGGCCAAGUUUGAAGGGAGACAACUAGUGCAAGCUAUCCUGACAAAAGUAGUCUUCGCCUGCCAAAGGCUGUGGUGGUGACGCCGUUAUGGGCUCCGCGAUGACCUCCGUCCUGCCGUCCUGGUGGUCUUGGUCUUGUUGCACCGAUAAGUAAACCUUUGCUUGAUUCCUCGGAACUCCGCGCCUACGCUUGUCUCCUUAGCACCAAAGAGGAAACUGGUACGCUGCACUCGCUGGCGCCCGCCUGGCCUUGGUCGUCAUGGCUCAUGUCAAGUGAACCUCACGAGGUGCGCCUUGCAUAGAUAUCUCCGCUCCCCGGGAGCCAGCCUAGCGAGGCCGCCCCCAGGGAGGUCUUGGUGUCGUCCGCCUCGCGAGGCUUGACCCCUCGCGAGGGUCUUGAGGUGUUGCUGCUAAAGCUGGGCCGUACCGGGCCGUUGAUGGAGCCACGCCUUGGGCCGCAGACAGGCACGUCUGGGUACCCCCAUUCCCAGGACGCCGACAGUAGCCCCCGGGCCCAAGGCGCGCUCGGGCUUGGCUUCGAGACGAAGCCAAUGGGCAAGUGCGGAGCACCGCGGGCCCCAACCUCCUGCGGCCUCGGUCGACGCUUGGCGAUUGAUGGGACGUGGGCGCCUCCACUUCCCCAUGAUGCCUCAGCAACCGUUCUCGCCUGACAAAAAGGCUGGCGCAUGCUGCAGAGCCUUCAUUGCCUUCCUUCGUCUUGCUCCAGAUCCCCUUUCUCUUUCUCGCUCCAAAGACUCCUAAUCCGCCGAAAAUUCUCCCCGAGCCCGCAGCCGAUGGCGUCCGACAAGGCGAAGGCCGUGCGCUCGCCCUCCUGGUUCGAGCCUGCCUUGAGCGCGCCUACGGUCACGGGGAAGAACCUCGCCGUCGCGCUCCUGAUGACGGCGGCCAGCAGCAACGAGGGCAGAGUCCGCGCUCCGGGCCGGUUCCGCUGAGCCAGAGGCCUCGGGCAGCACCUUCUAUCCUUUCUUCAUGCACAACGUCUUCACGGGGCUGGUCCCUUCUUUAUCUGACUUCUUCUAUGCCGUCCUCAGCCAUUCCAAUCUCCAUGCCCUCCAUCUUCAUCCCAACUCCGUCCUCCUUUUGUCGAUCUUUGCCUUUUACUGCGAGGCAUUCGUGGGGGUGAUGUCGUCCGUGGCGCUGCUUUGCCACUUCUUCUACCUUCGGAACAAGGAGGGCCAGUGCUCGGGGUGCGCCAAUUUCGUUGCGGCCAACGGGACCAACGCAAUCUCAAGAGCCGGGAAGAAGGUUGAGGGCUUCAGGAACAAGUGGGUCCUCAUCGAUGCCAAGAUCUCCUACCCUCGGCUGGCGCUGCCGACGGGGAUGCCUUCGCAUCACGAGGUGUGGCUCAGCGCAAAGCUUGCCGGCCCCCGGGCGAAGCAGGUGCUCGAGAAGAUGGCGGCCGACCUGAAGCCAGACGACCCGAAGGCGGAGAAGCUGAUGGGGGCCAUGAUCGUCAAGGAAUUUCUGUCGCAGCACUUGGCUCCACUCCAGGCGCGCUCGCGCCCCCUGUGGAGGCUCAUGGAAGAGGGAGGCAACCUCCUCCUGCAUCCGGACGCCUUGUCCGACGAGGAGCUGGACAAGGCCCUCCAUCUCCUGGUUGGGGAGGACCAGGGGUACCCGCCGGAUACCCAUCUUCCGCUGUACCGCCGCCCAGAUGGGGCGGAGGUCGCCGCCGCCAUGCCCGUCUUUAACGAGCGCGGGCUCGUGCCGCCAGCGCCCGUUGAGGCCCCGGUGGUGCUGUCCUCCGGCGAGCCCAGUGAGGAGGAGGGGUCGGACUUGGAGGCUACCCAGGAGGGGGCGGGGGAGACUUCUCCUCCGCGCGUGGCCGAUCUCCUGCGCACCUUCCCCGACGACGACGCCGACGAGCAUCUGGCGAGGGAGUCACUGCACCCCGCCGGGGUCACCACGAGGUCGAAGGGCACCCCCUCAAAGAAGCCGCAGGCCGGGGUCCCAAAGAAAAGCAGAUCAGCGCGGAUCUCCCAAGACGGUGCUUCUGCUUCGGCGUCGGCUGGUGCUGCUGCGAAUCCUGCCGCCGUGCCUUUGUCUGCUCCUAGGGCUCGCACGCCGGUGCCCCAGGCCGCGAAGCCUUCGGGCUUGGUGCUUCAGAAGAGGGUGAGGGAGUACGCCGCCGUGGACCAGUAAGUGCUCCACCCUGAUUCUUGUCCCUGUUUCUGCCGUUGUUUCUUGAUGCUUCUCCCUUGUACUGUCAGGCCAACGCUGGCGAAGAAGAAGAAGGAGACGGCCGCGACUCCUGGGGCCCGGCAGCCUGCCGCGGUUGCGCCACCUCUGGUGUGGAAGGACGGCGAUGGCUCUCGCGCCUCAGCGGCUGGGUCAUCCUCGCGAGAUUCAGAGGCCCGGCCUUAGAAGAAGGCGACCUCCAUGGCCCAGCCGGCUCCGAAGGCGCCCGCCCCCAGCUCGCCUGCUGAGGCUCCGAUGGCUCAGGAGGCCCCGGCCUCUUCUGCUGCCACCAACUUGCAGGUCUUGGCGGCGAUGCUGCCUCCUCCUCUCCCCAUCACGCCGCUGGGCCGUGAUCCUUCUGCUUUGCCUGACGCUCUGGAGGAGGCUCUUUCCACGCUGACCCAGCUUCGGGACGACCUUCAAGGCACCGACCGUCGCCUGGCGUUGGGGCGCCUGUAGUUGAUCUUGGGAUGGUUGCGAUCCGACGCGUCCGUCUGGGCGGCGGCAUGGAGCCAAGCCAUAGAAGCCUCCGAGGAAGGUGAGCGGGCCGUCGGCCUGGCCGCGACCGCCCGUGACGCAGCGCUGAAGGAUGUUGUGGCUGCCAAGGAGCGCUGCCGGUUGGCGGAGGCCGAGCUGGAGACUAUGCGCAAUGAGCGCAUCGUCGAGGCUCGGCAGCACGAGGCGUGGGAGGAGAAGAUGAAGGCUCGAGAAGACGCGGUUGCCCGUCGUGACACUGAGCUGGAGCAAUCGGCACGGGCGCAGGCCGCGGAGUGCGGCCGCCUGGAGAAGCUGAAGGAGAAGGUGGAGGCGGAGAAGGCCCAGCUGGAAGCCAAGGCGAAGGUUCUUGUCGAAGAUCAUGUAGCCUUCAAUUCCCUUGAGCUGCAGUCCCGCAAGGCACUGCAGGAGCUCUAUGGGAGGGGUUUGAAGAAGCCAUUUAUGACUGCUGAGGAAGGCCCCGCCGAGCUACUCCCCCAGCUUGCCACGACACUCGAGGGCGUCGUUAAUGGGGUCGGCCCCAUGGUGGAAGGGGAAGCCCACGCGCUCUCCUCCUCGGCUCUGACGCGCGUCUUCAGCCAGCUUCGUCUUCGCGACCCUGGCAUCGACCUCGGCGCUCUGCUUGAGCCUGUGGACGAGGAGCACUGCGCAGCCGCCGCCGAAGCCGUGAAGGACCGGGUGGACGCCCUACUGGAGAAGUUCCUCGCCAUCGACCCCGCGCCUCCGUCUGAUGGUGCCGCUGAUGCUACGGCCACAGCCGACGGCACGGGCAACGGCGACGUUGCCGACGAAGGAGUACCCCUUGCAGGCGACGGCAGCGCCCAAGGCUGAUGAGAAGGCUCGCUGGCGGCGCUUCCCUCUGCUUUUAUUUCCUGCCACAUGCAUUGUGCCUCGUGGAGGCGUUAAAACUUAUGCUUGGUAUUCGGAGAAACAAUAUGUCUUAUAAUAAUUUGUUAGGAUUCUGCGAUUUCCUUCCCGUUGCCUUAGUGUUCUGCAUCGGCAGGGCCCGGCCCCGCGCAUGCCUCAGCCACCGCCAGGACGAGACCAAGGGGUGAGGGGCUACGUGACCAGUUAGGCUCCUAAGGCGCGAUGCUCAGGAGUCCCCCUUGACGUACAAAUAGCCUUCGGGAAGGAGAUGCGAGAGUAGGCCUUAGCGUUCUGCGUCGGCAGGGCCCGGCCCCGUGUAUGCCUUAGCCGUCGUUGGGUCGUUCGGAUCGCCAGGACAAGACCAAGGGGUGAGGGGCUACGUGGCCAGUUAGGCCCUUGGGUCACACGAUGCCCAAGGGUCCCCCUUGACGUACGAAUAGACCCCAUACCUGUCCUCGCUGGUCUCUCGCGCGGGAGGGUUGCGCGAAGGCCAAGUCCGAAGGACAUGGCGAGGUGGCGUACGCCAGGCGUGACCUGAGCGUAGCCCCCGUGCCCAGCCCCCUUGCGCUACUCUCCCGAGGGGAAAGCAGCGCGGUGAGGCUAGUCACCGAGCCUGGUGGCUCCCUGAGGUUAUUGCAGCCGUGAGGCCACCCUCAGUUGUUGAUCACCAGCGCGUAGCAUGGCGCUACCGUUUUUGCACGGGCAUAGCCGCUCCUCGGUCGUGUCGACUGCCAGCGCGGAGCAUGGUGUUUCCACUGGUACGUGGGAGGGGGCUCCCUCUGAGGAGAGCCCCCGGGGCGUGUACAGCCCCGCCCUGACACAUGGCUUGUGAUAGGUCUCCGUCGUAUCUAUAAUUUUUUAUUGUUCCAUGCCAAUAUUAUACAACUUCCAUAUACUUUUUGGCAACUUUUUAUACUAUUUUUGGGACUAACAUAUUGAUCCAAUGCCCAGUGCCAGUUCCUGUUUGUUGCAUGUUUUUGUUUCGCAGAAUAUCCAUAUCAAACGGAGUCCAAACGGGAUAAAAACAGACGGAGAUUAUUUUUGGAAUAUUCGGAGAAUAUGGGAAGGAAAAUCCACGCAAGACGGUGCUCGAGGGAGGCACGACGCAGGGGGGCGCGCCCCACCCCCCUGGGCGUGCCCCUGACCCUCGUGGGCCCCCCGUAAGGCGGUUGAUGCCCUUCUUCGGCCGCAAGAAAGCUAAUUUUGGGGGAAAAAUCACGGCGAUGGUUUCAGUCCAAUCGGAGUUACGGAUCUCCAUAUAUAUACGAAACGGUGAAAGGGCAGCAGACCAGAGCGCAGAAACAGAGAGAGACAGAGAGACAGAUCCAAUCUCGGAGGGGCUCUCACCCCUCCCAUGCCAUGGAGGCCAAGGACCAGAGGGGAAACCCUUCUCCCAUCUAGGGAGGAGGUCAAGGAAGAAGAAGAAGAAGAAGGGGCCCCCUCUCCCCUUCUCUUCCGGUGGCGCCGGAACGCUGCCGUGCCCACCAUCAUCAUCGCCGCAAUCUUCACCAACAACUUCACCGCCAUCAUCACCAACUCUUCCCCCCUCUAUGCAGCGGUGUAACCUCUCUCUUACCCGCUGUAAUCUCUACUUAAACAUGGUGCUCAACGCUAUAUAUUAUUUCCCAAUGAUGUAUGGCUAUCCUAUGAUGUUUGAGUAGAUCCGUUUUGUCCUACGGGUUAUUUGAUGAUCAAGAUUGGUUUGAGUUGCAUGUUUUAUUAUUGGUGCUGUCCUAUGGUGCUCUCCGUGUCGCGCAAGCGUGAGGGAUCCCCGCUGUAGGGUGUUGCAAUACGUUCAUGAUUCGCUUAUAGUGGGUUGCAUGAGUGACUGAAACACAAACCCGAGUAAGGGGGUUGUUGCGUAUGGGAUAAAGAGGACUUGAUGCUUUAAUGCUCUGGUUGGGUUUUACCUUAAUGAUCUUUAAUAGUUGUGGAUGCUUUCUAGAGUUCCAAUCAUAAGUGCAUAUGAUCCAAGUAGAGAAAGUAUGUUAGCUUAUGCCUCUCCCUCAAAUAAAAUUGCAAUAAUGAUUACCGGUCUAGUUAUCGAUUGCCUAGGGACAAAUAACUUUCUCGUAACAAAAAGCUCUUUACUAAAACUAAUUAGUUGUGUCUUUAUCUAAACAGCCCCUACCUUUUAUUUACGCUCUCUUUAUAUUCUUGCAAACCUAUCUAAAAACACCUACAAAGUACUUCUAGUUUCAUACUUGUUCUAGGUAAAGCGAACGUUAAGCGUGCGUAGAGUUGUAUCGGUGGUCGAUAGAACUUGAGGGAAUAUUUGUUCUACCUUUAGCUCCUCGUUGGGUUCGACACUCUUACUUAUCGAAAGAGGCUACAAUUGAUCCCCUAUACUUGUGGGUUAUCAAGACCUUUUUCUGGCACCGUAGCCGGGGAGCAAUAGCGUGGGGUGAAUAUUCUCGUGUGUGCUUGUUUGCUUUAUCUCUAAGUAAUUUUUAUUUGCUGUUCUUAGUUGUUCUCUAUCUUUAGUUAUGGAUAUGGAACAUGAAAUACCAAAAAAAUUAGGUGUACUUGCUACUCUUGGAGAUGGGGAACCUCCUAAAACCCUUGAUGAUCAUUAUGUGAAAAAUAUUUUGUACCACUUUGAUAAUCCUGAGAAAACCUCAUUCAAUUAUGUAAUGGGAGACACGUUGGACCAACGUGAAUACUUUAGGGAUUAUCGCUUGACUCAAAAAGGGAAACUAUUAUGGGAUCAAAUUUAUAUGUUGAAGUGGUAUGCUCGGCAAGUAUGCUUGAGAUAUGAUUAUACUUGUUGCUCUAGGAUGAAGGCUCCACACCUUCCCUUUUCAUGCAAAUUUAAUGAUAAUGAAACCUUGGCUUCUUAUGCUAGAGGUAUAUAUGAUUACUAUGAUGUGGAACAAAUAGAAGAAUUUGUUGCUUUUAAGGGUGCUUAUGAAAUUGAAUUUUUGGUUGAAAAGUACGAAGCUUUUGAUGAUGAUGUUUAUAGGCCUGAAAAUUUUUCUAUAUUGAAAUAUUGUUAUGAGAAUUAUGAAUACAAUUCCGAUAUUGAUGCAUUUAUUGAGAAAGUCUCCACUGUCCAAGAAGAGACUAAUAUUUUGCAUGAGUCUAUGGAAGAAGAAAUUGAAGAAACUGUGAGCUCAUUGGAUGAAAAAGAUGAUGAGGAGAGCGAAGAACAAAAGGAGGAAGAGCGGAUUAGCUACCCGUGCCCACCUUCUAAUGAGAGUAACUCUUCAACUCAUACAUUGUUUAAUUCCCCUUAUUGCACCCACGCAUGAUAGUCCUAUUAUCUUUUUGAAUUCUCCCGACUACACUAUAUCGAAGAAGUUUGCACUUAUUAAGGAUUACAUUGAUGGGUUGCCUUUUACCGUUGCACAUGAUGAUUUUGAUGAAUAUAAUAUACAUGUGCUUGCUGCUCCUACUUGAAAUUAUUAUGAGAGAGGAACUAUAUCUCCACCUCUCUAUGUUUCCAACACGAUAAAAUUGCAAGAAACUGUUUAUACUAUGCAUUGGCCUUUACUAUGUGUGCAUGAAUUGUUCUUUUAUGACAUGCCGAUGGAUAGGAAGAGAGUUAGACUUCGUUGUUGCAUGAUAUAUGUUGCCUUGUGCUCACUACUAAAUGCCAAAUCAUUGCUAAUUAAAAUAGGCUUUGAUAUACCUUGGGAUCCGGGUGGAUUCACUACUUGAGCACUAUAUGCGCAGCUUAAUGCCUUUAAAGAAAGCGCUGCCAGGGAGACAACCCGGAAGUUAUAGAGAGUCAUUUAUUUCUGUUGAGUGCUUUUACAUAGUUUAAAAACAAAAUAAAAUAAAGAGGGGAACCUAAAACUUUUUCAAAAAGAAAACUGAAAGUGAGAAAGACGAGCAUUGUUAAAGUGGGAGCUAGCCUUGAACUUUGUUCAUGCUCACGGAAACUUUGUGAAUCUUGAUUACAGAAACUUUUCACUAAAUAUAAUUAUCCCCUUGUACAAUUCCAUUGUAUUAUAAAAAUAAUGUGCCAAGGUUUGCCUUUAGGAUGUUUACAAUGCUUGUUGGUUUGUACGGUGCAGGACAGAAAUUUUGGCUGUAGUGCUCGAUUUUACAUUUUUUUACUGGAACGUCAAAUGGUUCUGAUUAUUUUUGCACUGUCUUUCUAUACAAAUUGCUUAUUUUUCCUAAUUUUAGCAGAAUUGUUCAAGUAUCAGAAGUAUCGUGAAUGUUCAGAUUAUUACAGACUGUUCUGUUUUAGACAGAUUCUGUUUUUGAUGCAUAGUUUGCUUCUUUUGAUGAAACUAUCGAUUUAUAUCAGUGGAUUAAGCCAUGAAAAAAUUAUAUUUCAGUAGCUACAAUGCCAAAACAAAAUAUGAAUUGGUUUGCAACAGUACUUAGAGUAGUGAUUUGCUUUAUUAUACUAACGGAUCUUACCAAGUUUUCUGUUGAAGUUUUGUGUGGAUGAAGUGUUCGAUGAUCGAGGAGGUCUCGAUGUGAGAAGAAGGAAGAGAGGCAAGAGCUCAAGAUUGGGGAUGCCCAAGGCACCCCAAGUAAAUAUUCAAGGAGACUCAAGCAUCUAAGCUUGGGGAUGCCCCGGAAGGCAUCCCCUCUUUCUUCAACAAGUAUCGGUAUGUUUUCAGAUUCGUUUCGUUCAUGCAAUAUGUGCAAGUCUUGGAGCGUCUUUUGCAUUUAGUUUUCAUUUUUCUUUUAUGCACCAUGCUGGUAUGAGAUAGUCCUUGGUUGAUUUAUAAGAAUGCUCUUUGCACUUCACUUAUAUCUUUUGAGUAUGGCUUUAUAGAAUGCUUCAUGUGCUUCACUUAUAUCAUUUGAAGUUUGGAUUGCCUGUUUCUCUUUACAAAGAAAACCGCCAUUUGUAGAAUGCUCUUUUGCUUCACUUAUAUUUGUUAGAGCGUGGGCAUAUCUUUUUUAGAAAUAAUUAAACUCUCUUGCUUCACUUAUAUCUAUUUAGAGAGAUGGCAGGAACUGGUCAUUCACAUGGUUAGUCAUAAAAUCCUACAUAAAACUUGUAGAUCACUGAAUAUGAUAUGUUUGAUUCCUUGCAAUAGUUUUGCGAUAUAAAGAUGGUGAUAUUAGACUCAUGAUAGUGGGUAGUUGUGGAUUAGUAGAAAUACUUGUGUUGAGGUUUGUGAUUCCCGUAGCAUGCACGUAUGGUGAACCGUUGUGUAACGAAGUCGGAGCAUGAGGUAUUUAUUGAUUGUCUUAUGAGUGGCGGUCGGGGACGAGCGAUGGUCUUUUCCUACCAAUCUAUCCCCCUAGGAGCAUGCGCGUAGUACUUUGUUUUGAUAACUAAUAGAUUUUUGCAAUAAGUAUGUGAGUUCUUUAUGACUAAUGUUGAUUCCAUGGAUUAUACGCACUCUCACCCUUCCACCAUUGCUAGCCUCUCUAGUACCGUGCAACUUUCGCCGGUACCAUAAACCCACCAUAUACCUUCCUCAAAACAGCCACCAUACCUACCUAUCAUGGCAUUUCCAUAGCCAUUCCGAGAUAUAUUGCCAUGCAACUUCCAUCAUCAUCAUAUACAUGACUCGAGCAUUCAUUAUCAUAUUGCUUUGCAUGAUCGUAAGAUAGCUAGCAUGAUAUUUUCAUGGCUUGUCCAUUUUUUGAUAUCAUUGCUACACUAGAUCAUUGCACAUCCCGGUACACCGCCGGAGGCAUUCAUAUAGAGUCAUAUCUUUGUUCUAGUAUCGAGUUGUAAUAUUGAGUUGUAAGUAAAUAAAAAGUGUGAUGAUCAUCAUUAUUAGAGCAUUGCCCCGGUGAGGAAAGGAUGAUGGAAACUAUGAUUCCCCCACAAGUCGGGAUGAGACUCCGGACUUUAAAAAUAAAUAAAAGAGGCCAAAGAAGCCAAAAAGAAGAGGCAAAACAAGCCCACCAAAAAAGGGGAAAAAAUAAAAGAGAAUAAAAAAAUGAGAGAAAAAGAGAGAAGGGACAAUGUUACUAUCCUUUUACCACACUUGUGCUUCAGAGUAGCACCAUGUUCUUCAUAUAGGGAGUCUCUUGAGUUAUCACUUUCAUAUACUAGUGGGAAUUUUCAUUAUAGAACUUGGCUUGUAUAUUCCGAUGAUGGGCUUCCUCAAACGCCCGAGGUCUUCAUGAGCAAGCAAGUUGGAUGCACACCCACUUAGAUUUCAGUCUGAGCUUUCAUACACUUAUAGCUCUUAGUGCAUCCUUUGCAUGGCAAUACCUACUCACAUUGAUAUCUAUUGAUGGGCAUCUCCAUAGCUCGUUAAUACGCCUAGUUGAUGUGAGACUAUCUUCUCCUUUUUGUAUUCUCCACAACCACCAUUCUAUUCCACCUAUAGUGCUAUGUCCAUGGCUCACGCUCAUGUAUUGCGUGAAAGUUGAAAAGGUUUGAGAACAUCAAAAGUAUGAAACAAUUGCUUGGCUUGUCCUCGGGUUUGUGCAUGAUUUGAAUAUUUUAUGUGGUGAAGAUGGAGCAUAGCCAGACUAUAUGAUUUUGUAGGGAUAACUUUUUUUGGGCAUGUUAUUUUGAAAAGACAUGAUUGCUUUAUUAGUAGGCUUGAAGUAUUAUUGUUUUUACAUCAAAUGAUAGACUAUUGCUUUGAAUCACUCGUGUCUUAAUAUUCAUGCCAUGAUUAGAUACAUGAUCAAGAUUAUGCUAGGUAGCAUUCCACAUCAAAAAUUAUCUUUUUUAUCAUUUACCUACUCGAGGACGAGCAGGAAUUAAGCUUGGGGAUGCUGAUACGUCUCCGUCGUAUCUAUAAUUUUUGAUUGUUCCAUGCCAAUAUUAUACAACUUUCAUAUACUUUUUGGCAACUUUUUAUACUAUUUUUGGGACUAACAUAUUGACCAGUGCCCAGUGCCAAUUCCUGUUUGUUGCGUGUUUUUGUUUCACAGAAUAUCCAUAUCAAACGGAGUCCAAACGGGAUAAAAAUGGAUGGAGAUUAUUUUUGGAAUAUUCGGAGAAUAUGGGAAGGAAAAUCCACGCGAGACGGUGCCCGAGGGAGGCACGAGGCAGGGGGCACGCCCCACCCCCCUGGGCGUGCCGAUGACCCUUAUGGGCCCCUCGUAAGGUGGUUGAUGCCCUUCUUUGAGCCGCAAGAAAGCUAAUUUUUGGGGAAAAAUCACGGCGAAGGUUUCAGUCCAAUCGGAGUUACGGAUCUCCAUAUAUAUACGAAACGGUGAAAGGGCAGCAGAAUGGAGGGCAGAAACAGAGAGAGACAGAGAGACAGAUCCAACCUCGGAGGGGCUCUCGCCCCUCCCAUGCCAUGGAGGCCAAGGACCAGAGGGCAAACCCUUCUCCCAUCUAGGGAGGAGGUCAAGGAAGAAGAAGAAGAAGGGGACCCUCUCCCCUUCUCUUCCGGUGGCGCCGGAACGCUGCCGUGGCCACCAUCAUCAUCACCGCAAUCUUCACCAACAACUUCACCACCAUCAUCACCAACUCUCCCCCCUCUAUGCAGCGUUGUAACCUCUCUCUUACCCGCUGUAAUCUCUACUUGAACAUGGUGCUCAACGCUAUAUAUUAUUUCCCAAUGAUGUAUGGCUAUCCUAUGAUGUUUGAGUAGAUCCGUUUUGUCCUAUGGGUUAUUUGAUGAUCAAGAUUGGUUUGAGUUGCAUGUUUUAUUAUUGGUGCUGUCCUAUGCUGCUCUCCGUGUCGCGCAAGCGUGAGUGAUCCCCGCUGUAGGGUGUUGCAAUAGGUUCAUGAUUCGCUUAUAGUGGGUUGCGUGAGUGACUGAAACACAAACCCGAGUAAGGGGGUUGUUGCGUAUGGGAUAAAGAGGACUCGAUGCUUUAAUGCUAUGGUUGGGUUUUACCUUAAUGAUCUUUAGUAGUUGCGGAUGCUUGCUAGAGUUCCAAUCAUAAGUGCAUAUGAUCCAAGUAGAGAAAGUAUGUUAGCUUAUGCCUCUCCCUCAAAUAAAAUUGCAAUAAUGAUUACCGGUCUAGUUAUCGAUUGCCUAGGGACAAAUAACUUUCUCGUAACAAAAAGCUCUUUACUAAAACUAAUUUAGUUGUGUCUUUAUCUAAACAGCCCCUACCUUUUAUUUACGCUCUCUUUAUAUUCUUGCAAACCUAUCUAAAAACACCUACAAAGUACUUCUAGUUUCAUACUUGUUCUAGGUAAAGCGAACGUUAAGCGUGCGUAGAGUUGUAUCGGUGGUCGAUAGAACUUGAGGGAAUAUUUGUUCUACCUUUAGCUCCUCAUUGGGUUCGACACUCUUACUUAUCGAAAGAGGCUACAAUUGAUCCCCUAUACUUGUGGGUUAUCAGCUUGCACGGCAGGGCUAGAGGAGGUGUGUCUGGGCACCCAUGAGCCAGCGCGGGACUCAUGGGGCCCUACCUCAAGGCGGGUUGCGCCUGGUCUUGAUUGAGAGCACUUGUAAUAAUCCUGCGAGAUGGUUAGGCAACGUGCGCCGAGUGAAUCCCUUGAGGCUACCACAUGAGAAGGCCAGACACCAAUGGCCCCAGGAAGUGACGUGAACGGGGCCUGCCCGCCAGACAGAGCUCAUCCGCUGGGUUUAUCGACGUUGCAGGGACGGACCCGAGCACGGACGUUGUGCCUAGUCUUCUCAUGCGGACAUCUUGAAGAAAGACAGCCGGCGCGCGGCUCCCAUAGCGACGAGGCACCGUGUCGUGCGCCCUCACUUAUCCAUCCGCGAUUAGCUCAUCCGAGGGCAAGACACCAAGGACCAUGGGAGGUGACGUACACGGGAGCUGGCCCGUGAGCCAGAGCUCAGCCUCUUGGGUUUAGCAACGCUACAGGGAAGGACCUGAGCACAGACACCGUGCCAGUCCUUAAUCAUGAGGCAGUCGUGGGUGGAUUUGCAAGGGUGUACGACGUUCAUGGCAACGAAGUACCGGACAUGCAGAUGAUAAUCAUAAAGCGACUGAUGGAAAGGGUAACGCUAGUUCAGGUAGAUGCAAGAAUGAUACAUGCCACAGGGAUGGACCCAUGCGGCCUGGGGAUGAUGCAGCCCGAGGGGCGCCCCCAACAAGGUAAAUUAAAGAUGCAAAAAGAUACAUGUCGCAGGGACAGACCCGUGCGACCUGGGAAAAAUGCAGCCCGAGGGGCGCCCCCAACUGAACAAACUGGAAAAUGUCACCUGGCACCGUUGCUGAAGGGAUGUUGGAAGCUGAAGACGCUUGUCGAAGAAGUCGCUCUUCACAAGCCGCCUGGGUCAUGAGCCUCAGGAGCCUCUGGGGGUCCGGGGGGGCUCAUGAAGAACUGUCGCCAUCUCCGUUAAGACCGCCUGGUGCCUGGUCUCCUGAGCUGCCAGGACGCGCCGCGGGUGGCGCUGGAAGGAGACAGCCGUGUUCAGCAGGCUAUAAGGCAUGCGAACGUAGUUGUGAGGGGGGCCCUCACACCGACCAACGCGCGAUGGCUAGAAGCGCUCCUGAGACGCAGCCCUGUUGAGCCCGAGGUAGUCGAUGCAGACGCGCAGCUCGCUGUCCUCGCCUGGACAAGGAGCUGCGCCAGGUGGUAGGCGGCGGUCGCCGCGCAUGGCUCUUGCCUCUUGAAGCUCCUCGGUCGUCUUGGUGAUGAACUCCUGAGCACCAGGCACCUCGUGCCUCGUGCCCUCAUGCGGGAAGCGUGCGAUGAAGCAUGCCCCCAUGUGGUGCCCGAGCGCCUCCCUCGUGACGUUGCCUAGUUCAGAGGCCCUCCAGAGGAGAGCCCCCGAGCCCAGCCUAAGAGGGGCGAUGGGCGCGCCUUCCUAUGCGAGGGAGGGAGGCACCCCAUUCGCGGACACAUGUCUUGAGGUGGUGCGGCUGGAGACUACGACUCCUAAGGCUUUUGGUUGAAAAGCUGCUUCUUCUUCUUGGGGACAGCCUCGGGAGGGUAGACGGCACCUUCGUUGUCCGGGUCCUCGACUUCCGCAGCCUAGUAGGCGCGCUCAAGGGAGCACACGGCGUCCUUCUCCUCGCAGGCGAUCUUGAUGAUGUCACGGCUCCCUGGCAUCUUGAGGACGUUGUAGCCAUGAUGGGUCACCGCCAUGAACUUGGCCAGGGCCGUAUACCAAGGAUGGCAUUGUACGGUAGGCAGAUGUGGGCGACGUCGAAGUCGAUGAGCUCGGUGCGGUAGUUGUCGUGUUGGCCGAAGGUGACAGGGAGGCGGAUCUGCCCUAUCGGGGUGGUGGAGCCGUCAGUCACUCCUGAGAAAGGCUUGGUGGGCUGUAGCUGAUCGUAUGGCACUUGGAGGCGGUCGAACGUCUCGAUGGAAAGGACAUUGAGCCCUGCACCACCAUCGAUGAGUGUCUUGGUGACAAGGACAUUGCUGAUGAUGGGUGAAUAGAGCAUAGGGAGGGCGCCGGCAGUGGUCGCGCACUUGAGCUGGUCGGACGAGCCAAAGGUGAUGGUGCACUUGGACCACCUAAGCGGGCACGUUGCCUCGAGCCUGGGGAGAGCCGCAUUCACCUCACGGGCGAACUGCUUGAAGAUGCACUGAGAGGCUGGGGCCUGAGCAUCACCCAAGAUGCAGGCGAUGGCGCGUGGCUCCUGGAAGCCCCCAACCCCCUCAUCCUGGUCGUCGUUCCUCCUUGGUGGUGGUGGCAGUGGAGGGAGGCCCACCUUGCCCUGAGGACGGUCCUCACGAGGCUGAUCCCUCCGGGCGUCCUCGCGAGGCUGGCCCUACCAGCGAUCCUCAUGAGGCUGGUCGCGCCACUCCUGGCGGGGACCGCGGUCGUCCCAGUGUCCUCCACUUCGUCCUCCUCCAUGGACGUAGCCUCGGUCGUUGCGCUCAGGGCGUCGACUGAAGCGCCCGUCGCGGAUGGCCCUGAGCUCUUGACAGUCGCUGGUGUUGUGGCUGUGCACGUUGUGGAAGGCGCAGAAUGGGCGACUGCCCUUGGAUGACUCCGGGUGGUCGAGGCCGCGCUUCAUCUCUGGCUCAGCCGCAAGCACGGCCGCUCCCUUGCGCUUCACAUCCUUGGCCCUGGCCUUCUUGUCUUCUGGGUCUGCAGCUGGGAGCUCAAGGAGGGAGAGGCGCCCUUCCUCAGCUCUCGCGCACUUGGUCGCCAUGUUGAACAUCUCCAGAGCCGUGCACAGGUCCUCGUGUAUGGCGAGCUCCUCUUUCAUCUUGACAUCAUGGACGCCAUCAGAGAAUGCGGAGAUGAUGGCCUCGUCUGUCACCUUGGGGAUCUUGAGGCGAACGUUGUUGAAGUGCUGGAUGUACUUCUGCAGGGUUUCCCCUGGCUGCUGCUUGAUGCGCCGCAGGUCACCCGCGGCAGGUGGGCAGUCGCGAGUACCCUGGAAGUUGGCGACGAAACGCUCACGCAUCUCGCCCUAGGAGGAGAUCCAUCCCGCGGGCAGGUCGAGGAGCCAUGAGCGCGCGCCGUCCUUGAGAGCCUUGGGAAACCAGUUCGCCAUGACCUUCUCGUCGCCGUUGGCCGCCUCGAUGCUUAGCUCAUAGAGCUGCAGGAACUCAGCAAGGUCGGGGGUGCCGUCGUAGCGCGGAGGCAGGUCGGGCUUGAACUUCCCGCGCUAGACGACGCUGCGCAGCUCGGGAGUAAAGGCACGGCAACCCGUUGUAGUCGCUGGAGCCCGUCGUGGAGGCGGAGCCUGGUCUUGGUACCCACGCGCCGCCACCGCAGGCGGCGCACGGUCUUGACGCGGUGGUGCCGGGAGCACGGGAGCAUCUUCUUGCGGCCACGGAACCUCGGCAGCUUCCUUCUUCACGCGCGGGCAUCCUACGCGGCAGGUCGUGCCGCGGGGCCGCGCGCCUUGGUGCGAGGGCGACGUCUUGACGGGGAGGUGGUGAAGGCGCUCCAUUGGCUACGUCGCCCGCGGCAGGCACCGGGCGAGGCAGCGAGAGAGACGGUGCGGGAGAACCCCCAGUGGCGCUGACGAGCUCGGUGAUGCGGUCCAGCCAGUCCUCGUAGAGGUCGUCGACGGGGCAGUAGCGCAGGAGCUCGCGCGCCAAGAGUAGCGAAGCCUGUGCGUCCGCAGGCCCACGACGAGCGUGGGACGACGAGCCGGCCGGAGUCAGCGACGGGGUGGUGGUACAUCCAUCCCGCCGCAUGGAGGGGUGCAGCGACGAAGCUUGUUGCUCGUGCCCGCCGUGCCAGUGGCAGCGUUGGCUGCGGGUGAUGGAGAGCGACGGGGAGGCCCGCCGACAGGCGCUGUCUGGGCGACGCGGGUGGCGAGAGCGGCUCGGCGCUCAGCGCGGGCUCGGCGAGCAUCAGCCAUGGAAGCAGUGGAGCGGUGCGUCGACUGACGAAGAAGAGGCUUCGGCACACCCCUACCUAGCGCGCCAAAUGUCGGAUUUUGGGUUCCGUAGACCCUUGAGAGGUUUGAACUCUGGGGUGCGCAUGAAUAACACUUUCUCCCCAGCCUGCUCACUCAACGAUUCCACGGCCUAACUCGACGAACCCAAAGAAUAGGUGACACGGGGGUUUAUACUAGUUUGGUCCACCUUGCGGUGUAAUACACUACUCCAGUUUUGUGGUGGAUUGCCUUGAGGGACUGAGGAUGAACUAGUAUAGUGGAUGAACGACCUCAGGAGGUGAGGUGUUCUUGAGCUCGAUGAGCUGGUGAGAUGGCCUUGGUGGAAUGGAUCCAGCCGAAGAUGAGAUGCCCCCUAUGGUGGUGGCUAAGUCCUAUUUAUAGUGGUCUUGGUCCUCUUCCCAAAUGUAGGCGGGAAGGGAUCCCACAACGGCCAAGUUUGAAGGAAGACAACUAGUACAAGCUAUCCUGACAAAAGUAGUCUUCGCCUACCAAAGGCUCUGGUGGUGACGUCGCUAUGGGCUCCGCGAUGACCUCCGUCCUGCCGUCUUGGUGGUCUUGGUCUUGUUGCACCGACAAGGAAACCUUUGCUUGAUUCCUCGGGACUCCGCGUCUGCGCUUGCCUCCUUAGCACCAAAGAGGAAACUGGUACGCUGCACCCGUUGGCGCCUGCCUGGCCUUGGUCGUCAUGGCUCACGUCAUGUGAACCUCGCGAGGUGCGCCUUGCAUAGAUAUCUCUGCUCCUUGGGAGCCAGCCUAGCUAGGCCACUCCCAGGGAGGUCUUGGUGUCGUCCGCCUCGCGAGGCUUGGCCCCUCGCGAGGGUCUUGAGCUGUUGCUACUGAAGCUGGGCCGUACCGGGCCGUUGAUGGAGCCACGCCUUGGGCCGCAGGCAGGCAAGUCUGGGUACCCCCAUUCCCUGGACGCCGACACCAUCCAGGAGCGAGCUAGCUAGCUAGCUCCUCCGUCACCGCGCGCUGCGGCCGGGGCGGACGACGCAGACGGGCGGGCGCGGUGGCCGGGUCGGACANNNNNNNNNNNNNNNNNNNNNNNNNNNNNNNNNNNNNNNNNNNNNNNNNNNNNNNNNNNNNNNNNNNNNNNNNNNNNNNNNNNNNNNNNNNNNNNNNNNNNNNNNNNNNNNNNNNNNNNNNNNNNNNNNNNNNNNNNNNNNNNNNNNNNNNNNNNNNNNNNNNNNNNNNNNNNNNNNNNNNNNNNNNNNNNNNNNNNNNNNNNNNNNNNNNNNNNNNNNNNNNNNNNNNNNNNNNNNNNNNNNNNNNNNNNNNNNNNNNNNNNNNNNNNNNNNNNNNNNNNNNNNNNNNNNNNNNNNNNNNNNNNNNNNNNNNNNNNNNNNNNNNNNNNNNNNNNNNNNNNNNNNNNNNNNNNNNNNNNNNNNNNNNNNNNNNNNNNNNNNNNNNNNNNNNNNNNNNNNNNNNNNNNNNNNNNNNNNNNNNNNNNNNNNNNNNNNNNCGGCCGGGCGGCCGGGCGAGCUUCAUGGUGUUGGCAGGAGCAGAGAUUUCUCAACCGCCCUGGAAAAGUUGCCUUCAAAACUGUAGAUACGAGGGUUUCGGCUUCGUAUUUACGGGGCCCCUUAAAAAAAUUAAGGGUCGGACGAUUUUAAAGGGUCUGUUCGGGCCCGUUUUUUCAACUGGAAUUGUAAAAAAUAGUUAUUUUGCGGGUUUAACCACUUAUGCGGGUCUGCUAGAGAUGCUCUCAGCGAGACAGAAGGAAGUCUCACUUAAGGCGAGAAAUAGUCAUCGCGUCUUAUUCAGGCGCAUCCGGGAGAUCCUCGUCAGUUCAUGAACAACAAGCAAUUGUCUUUUUGAACAUGAAUUAUAGCUUGAUGUAUAGCGGGGAACACUACGGUGCAACACACGUACAUAAUAGGAUUAAGAAAAAAUCCACAUUACUCUCUCUAUAUAUAUAUGUCAGUUUCUUCACGUAUAUCACAGUUAGAUAACCGGAGUGGGGAAGAACAGUGGUGCCGUAUGAUACGGGGCUAUCGCGUGUAUGCACAUAUCUAUACCGACUCUGCCCACAAAUGGAAAUAUAAAAAGUAGCAUUGAUGUGCGCUAGUGGGGAAUCCAGACUCUCUGGGAAGGCCUUAAUCCUGUUGAUUUCGACAUUCUACUUUACGUCCCCUGUUACUAAAUUCUAUUUCAGUAUUUUACCUUUAUGCUCGCAACCCGGUUUUCACCAUUUUACUACUAUGUUGGAUUUCCUACAACUUGCAGGCAUGGCUAUUUAAAAAGUAAAUGUGGAUGUCUGGGUAGUGCACCCACUAGAUUAAUUACACAUGUAAUCCGCCAACACUAAAUGCAAAUUUGCAACACACUUAUCUAUAUAUUAAAUGAGGGCAUAUCUUAGCAUGAUAUGGUCAGUCUUAUUAAUGCUUUAACAAAUAUACCAAUCUUAGAAAAUCAAUUUUAGCAAAAAAAAAGCCCGCGAGCAUUCAAUAUGGUUACCAGAUAUCGCAAGGCCAUCCAUAAGAUUUAAGAUCUUAUCCAACAAACUAAAUCUACAUGUAGAUUUGUUGGAUGGAGAGAUGUGGUAUUUAAGUGUGCUCACCACCAUAGCCCAUAUAAAAAACCAUGUGGUGUAGAAGUCUUGCAUAACCAAAGAUUGAUCAACACACCUGCCUAGUGUUAACAUCUUCCACAAGAAAGAUGGCUAGUUCUAAAGUAAUGUGGGUGUUCUGCCUCCUAGCUUUACUGGCUUUCACUUCUUGUUCUUAUCAUGUACGAGCAGAAGAUCAUGCCACCAAGGAGAAAAAUGAGGUGAUGGAGUAUUGCNNNNNNNNNNNNNNNNNNNNNNNNNNNNNNNNNNNNNNNNNNNNNNNNNNNNNNNNNNNNNNNNNNNNNNNNNNNNNNNNNNNNNNNNNNNNNNNNNNNNNNNNNNNNNNNNNNNNNNNNNNNNNNNNNNNNNNNNNNNNNNNNNNNNNNNNNNNNNNNNNNNNNNNNNNNNNNNNNNNNNNNNNNNNNNNNNNNNNNNNNNNNNNNNNNNNNNNNNNNNNNNNNNNNNNNNNNNNNNNNNNNNNNNNNNNNNNNNNNNNNNNNNNNNNNNNNNNNNNNNNNNNNNNNNNNNNNNNNNNNNNNNNNNNNNNNNNNNNNNNNNNNNNNNNNNNNNNNNNNNNNNNNNNNNNNNNNNNNNNNNNNNNNNNNNNNNNNNNNNNNNNNNNNNNNNNNNNNNNNNNNNNNNNNNNNNNNNNNNNNNNUGUAAUUUCCAAGCUUAUCUUCAUGAGAUUAAUUACUUACGAGGAACACAAUGUCAUAUGUAGGUUUCAUCGUUCCAGAUUAUAGUGCGCCACCACCUCCAGAACACUAAUCGUAAGGCCGGUACGGUCAAAUUAGGAGAGGAGUGUUAUAAUAUGGAGCACUUAGUCUAAGGCAAUCUUAUCGAACAAAGGAAGGGAUGCUAUGAUAUUGAUGCUUUAUCAUAGGACCUCUGCAAUAAUGUAUCUUACUUUUAAUUUUAUGACUAAUAAAAGGACUGCCCGCAUGUUCUCUUUGUGUUUAGCAUGAUAUUUAGUUGUCCAUCGACAUACAUGGCCUCAACCAAUGACUUUCAAUUCUGAUAAAAUAGACUGCUGAAUUAAAUCCAAAGUCUUGUAAACAAACAUAGCUUGUUCUAUUCAUAAUAAUCACUAUAAUAAACACUAAUAAAAAAUUGUGUUUGUCGAAUGGCAUGGUCUUUGCCGAGCAUUUUACGGGAUAUUGGUUGACCACCUAUUUGUCGAGAACCACACUCGGUAAAAUCAAGCACUUGAUAGAGUCUUUAGUUCGUCGAGAGCUGUGAGAAAAAUACUCGGCAACCCCAAAACACUCGGCCAAUGCAACUUUUGAUGAGAGCUCGUGACAUAGUACUCGACAACUAGGAGCCAUGUGGCACAGUCGUCCAAGGUUUACGGCUCUGUGACACUAACGCGUCCCAAACACGAGGCUAUGAUUUGCCGGCAAUUUGGGACCUCUUAACCGGCGCCUUCAGCGUCGGUUGGUGUUUCCUACGCCCAUACGGUUGACGAUAUGGGCCGGCCCACCACAAGGCGAGGCGGAUAGCUCGCCAGCGCAUCUUCGUAUUCUUUUGUUGACCGGUUGACAGUUGACCAGUUGGCCAGUCAACCAUUGACUUUUGAAUUAAAAAACGAAAAGUUUUUCAAAAAUGUUCAUGCAUUUUGGAAAAAUAAACUAAAAAAAAAAGAAACCACAAAUUUGAAAAAAAAUCUCAUAAAUUUUGAAAAAAGUCCACGAAUUGGAAAAAAAAUUACCGAUACAUAUGGUCGCUAGCUUUUCCUCGAAAGAAAUUUUGAUAGUUAGCUUUGAAGAGUGACACAAUUUUGAGGGCCUAGCUUUAUUAAAAUUCUGAUCGCUAGCUUCGUUUGUGUUUUAGCACUGAUCGCUAGGUUCUUUUUUUCUUUCUUUUAGAUACCGAUCCCUAGCUUUGUUCUAACCUGUAGCCUACUAGCACAGACGAGCGGUUGAACAUAUAGGCCAGCCCACCCUGGCAGGAGUGUAGGACAUGCGGACGAGCUCGUUUUUUUUUUGGGGUUUUAACAAAUCAAAAUCAAACAAACAAUGAGGAAGUGAGGUGACUCUGACAUGAUACUUAGAUUUGAGACAAUAUCUCACAUCUAGAUGUAACAUAGACGGACACUAUUAAUAAUUACCAAAGAUCCCAUUGAUCUGAUUUGGCUGUUCAGAUGAAACCCGGUUUAAAUAAAAAAACCAGAUGGAUCGGGGGACAGAAAACGGUGGGAGGUGGGAACAUACGAGGGAGUUGAACGAAGGGGUUGGACGAAGGGGGUGAGACGCCAUGUUGAAAUGAAGGACGUGCACUUACAUGGGUUAUACUAUGUGUGUGUGUGAUAUUUGUUUCUCCCGUUGCAACACGGGUCAUAUUUGCUAUUAAUAAUAAAGGGGCUAUUUCUUCUUGCGGUACGUCACAUAAAUUGCCCCCAAAGUAACAAAAUAUUACCCACCAAUGCCAUAAUAUGAUAAAAAAAGUUUCACGGAGGGGAAUCCCCUGCCUGGGCCGGCCCAUGCAGUAGGGACCUCCUAUACUGUGCUCUGCGCGCGGGAGAAGACGCAACGUAUCCGUUUGGGAGGGCCCAUGUCUGGACGACCUGUUUAUUAAAUUUCAAUUGUAUUUCCCUUUUUCUUUCCAUUUUCCUUUUUUUUCUACUUUAAAUAAUUUGGGACUUCAAGAAGUUCUGAAAAUUUAAAAAAAAUGAGAAUUUCAAAAUAAAAAGUAUAAUAAACCAUAAAAUGUUUGUGCUUUCAAAAAAUGUUCGUGAUUUUGUAAAAGUUUGCCUGCCUAUUUAAACAAUGUUUGAAAUAUUGAAAACAAAUGCUCGGGAAAUCAAAAGUUCAUGAUUUUUUAAUAAGUUUAUCUAUUAAAAAAUGUUUAUGAAAUUGAACAAAAUUUCGCCAAUUCCAAAAAUGUUCAUGAAUGGUAAAAUAUCCUCAAAAUUCAAAAACUGAUUGUGACUUAGAAAAUAGUUUAUUCACUCACAAAAUGUUUGCUGUUUCAAAAAAUGAUCAUGCAUUUCAGAAAAUGUUUGUUCAAUUAAAAAAAAGUUCAUUAAAUAAAACAAUUGUGAAUUUCAAAAUUGUCCCACCAAUUUUCAACAAAAUGUUCGUCGAUUCAAGAAAUGUUCCACAGAAAAUUGUUUAAAAAUGUUCACAAUUUUAAAAAUUGAUUGCAAAUAGUAUAAAAUGUACAUAAAUUCAGAAAAUGUUCUUGAUUUUAGAAAACGUUUGAAAAUUUGUAUAAACGUUCACAAAUUUGAAAAAUAUUAUCAUGCCUAUUGGAGAUUAUGAUUUAUAUUUUUCUCCCGCUGCAACUCACGGGCCCUUUUGCUUGUAUUUUAUCAUGUAUAUAUGUUAGAUCUGUAUAGAAAAAACUGUUGACCAUGUAUUAAAAAUUGUUUAAUAUGUAUAGGAAAAAUGUUGACCUUGUAUUGGAAAAAUGUUAAUCUUGUAUUUAAAAAAUGUACAGGUGUAUUAGAAAAUGUUCUUGACGCAUACAAAAAUUGUAGAAUGAAAACCAAAAGGAACUAAUAAAUUAACAAAAAGGUCACAAAAAUAUAUAAUGAAAAAUAAAACCGAAGAAAGAAAUGCAAAAAGUAUGGGGAAAUAGGUAAAACUAAUAAGGAAAGAAAGAAAAAUAGAAUACAUUGAAAACCAAGAAAACCAAAAGAAAAAAGAAAAAAGAAAAUAAAAGAGAGAAGAAUUGAAAGAAAACGGAUGAAAAACAAAGAAGGAAAGAAAAGAAAAGAAAGAAAGAAAAAGUGAAAACCGAAAAGAAAGGAAGAGAAACUUUAAAAAAAUUGAGCCGCGGG